rnacentral:rRNA from 1 species
GAUGAACGCUAGCUACAGGCUUAACACAUGCAAGUCGAGGGGAAACGACAUCGAAAGCUUGCUUUUGAUGGGCGUCGACCGGCGCACGGGUGAGUAACGCGUAUCCAACCUGCCCACCACUUGGGGAUAACCUUGCGAAAGUAAGACUAAUACCCAAUGAUAUCUCUAGAAGACAUCUGAAAGAGAUUAAAGAUUUAUCGGUGAUGGAUGGGGAUGCGUCUGAUUAGCUUGUUGGCGGGGUAACGGCCCACCAAGGCGACGAUCAGUAGGGGUUCUGAGAGGAAGGUCCCCCACAUUGGAACGUAGACACGGUCCAAACUCCUACGGGAGGCAGCAGUGAGGAAUAUUGGUCAAUGGGCGAGAGCCUGAACCAGCCAAGUAGCGUGCAGGAUGACGGCCCUAUGGGUUGUAAACUGCUUUUAUAAGGGAAUAAAGUGAGCCUCGUGAGGCUUUUUGCAUGUACCUUAUGAAUAAGGACCGGCUAAUUCCGUGCCAGCAGCCGCGGUAA